AAGUACCGUUCGAAUAGGGCGGUACCUUGACGGUACCUAACCAGAAAGCCACGGCUAACUACGUGCCAGCAGCCGCGGUAAUACGUAGGUGGCAAGCGUUGUCCGGAAUUAUUGGGCGUAAAGGGCUCGCAGGCGGUUUCUUAAGUCUGAUGUGAAAGCCCCCGGCUCAACCGGGGAGGGUCAUUGGAAACUGGGGAACUUGAGUGCAGAAGAGGAGAGUGGAAUUCCACGUGUAGCGGUGAAAUGCGUAGAGAUGUGGAGGAACACCAGUGGCGAAGGCGACUCUCUGGUCUGUAACUGACGCUGAAGAGCGAAAGCGUGGGGAGCGAACAGGAUUAGAUACCCUGGUAGUCCACGCCGUAAACGAUGAGUGCUAAGUGUUAGGGGGUUUCCGCCCCUUAGUGCUGCAGCUAACGCAUUAAGCACUCCGCCUGGGGAGUACGGUCGCAAGACUGAAACUCAAAGGAAUUGACGGGGGCCCGCACAAGCGGUGGAGCAUGUGGUUUAAUUCGAAGCAACGCGAAGAACCUUACCAGGUCUUGACAUCCUCUGACAAUCCUAGAGAUAGGACGUCCCCUUCGGGGGCAGAGUGACAGGUGGUGCAUGG
rnacentral:rRNA from 1 species